UGGCUCAGACGGUAAAGCAUCUGUCUACAACGCAGGAGACCUAGGUUCGAUCCCUGG
rnacentral:tRNA from 1 species